rnacentral:rRNA from 1 species
AUACGGAGGAUGCAAGCGUUAUCCGGAUUUAUUGGGUUUAAAGGGUGCGUAGGCGGUUUGCUAAGCGGGAGGUGAAAUGCCGGCGCUCAACGUCGGAAGUGCCUCCCGAACUGGUGGACUUGAAUGACUCUGCCGUGGGAGGAAUGUGUAGUGUAGCGGUGAAAUGCUUAGAGAUUACACAGAACACCGAUUGCGAAGGCAUCUCACGAAGGGUUGAUUGACGCUGAGGCACGAAAGCGUGGGGAUCAAACAGGAUUAGAUACCCUGGUAGUCCACGCAGUAAACGAUGAUGGCUAACCGCUGGUUUAUUCGGAUCAGUGGCCAAGCGAAAGCGAUAAGCCAUCCACUUGGGGAGUACGACCGCAAGGUUGAAACUCAAAGGAAUUGGCGGGG